CAGCUCUUCAAGUAGUCGGGAAUAUUAUUGGGCUUAAAGCGUCCGUAGCCGGUUUGGUAAGUUCCUGGUUAAAUCUGGCAGCUUAACUGUCAGUCAGCUAGGAAUACUACCUUACUAGAGGGCGGGAAAGGUGUGAGGUACUCCGGGGGUAGCGGUGAAAUGCGAUAAUCCUCGGGGGACCACCAGUGGCGAAGGCGUCAUACUGGAACGCGCCUGACGGUGAGGGACGAAAGCCAGGGGAGCGAACGGGAUUAGAUACCCGAGUAGUCC
rnacentral:rRNA from 1 species